rnacentral:tRNA from 1 species
GUCUGUUGGUUUAAGUAAUCAACUGGGGGGUCGGUGGAAGGCUGGUUAAACCGUUUGGUUUUCGACCACUACGACCCGGGUUCGAUUCCCGCAUUGGACA